rnacentral:miRNA from 1 species
CCAGCAGUGGACGUCUGUG